rnacentral:rRNA from 1 species
AUUGAACGCUGGCGGCAUGCCUUACACAUGCAAGUCGAACGGCAGCGGACCUUCGGGUGCCGGCGAGUGGCGAACGGGUGAGUAAUAUAUCGGAACGUACCUUUCAGUGGGGGAUAACGUAGCGAAAGUUACGCUAAUACCGCAUAUUCUGUGAGCGAGGAAAGCAGGGGAUCGCAAGACCUUGCGCUGAUUGAGCGGCCGAUAUCAGAUUAGCUAGUUGGUGAGGUAAAGGCUCACCAAGGCGACGAUCUGUAGCGGGUCUGAGAGGAUGAUCCGCCACGCUGGAACUGAGACACGGUCCAGACUCCUACGGGAGGCAGCAGUGGGGAAUUUUGGACAAUGGGGGCAACCCUGAUCCAGCCAUUCCGCGUGAGUGAAGAAGGCC